AUUCCAGCUCCAAUAGCGUAUAUUAAAGUUGUUGCGGUUAAAAAGCUCGUAGUUGGAGUUCUGCCAGGUGCCACCUGUCCGCCCCAGUGGUGAGUACGUGGUGCGCAUUUGGCCCUUUCAAGGGGAGCGUAUUUGCACUUAAUUGUGUGGUGCGGGAUCCUUGACUUUUACUUUGAGGAAAUAAGAGUGUUCCAAGCAGGCUCUCGUCGUGCAUAGCUCAGCAUGGAAUAAUAGCAUUGGACCUCGAUUCUAAGCUGUUGGUUGCAAGAAGCGAGGUAAUGAUGAAGAGGGAUAGUUGGGGGCAUUCGUAUUUAAUUGUCAGAGGUGAAAUUCUUGGAUUUAUGAAAGACUAACUACUGCGAAAGCAUUUGCCAAGGAUGUUUUCAUCA
rnacentral:rRNA from 1 species